AUCGCUUCUGGCCUUUUGGCUAAGAUCACAUGUAGUAUCUGUUCUUACCCGUUCAGAGACUUCCAGGAUGGUGAAUGGUAGUGCUGCCACUUGAGGCUGCAUCUUCAUGUUUUUCCUUUCCAUUCUAGGGGAGAAAAGAACAUUGGUA
rnacentral:snRNA from 1 species